UCUGGCAAAGAGAUUUGCAGAGUGUCGGAUGACCGGCAAAGAGAUCUGCAAAGUGUCAGUUGAAGACGACGGGAGGGGUCGCAGAGGUAGCAAAGACUGGAGUAUAACAUGCAGGAGAUCAUCAUUUGGCAAAGUUCUGGCAAAGAGAUUUGCAGAGUGUCGGGUGACCGGCAAAGAGAUCUGCAAAGUGUCAGUUGAAGACGACGGGAUUGGUCGCAGAGGAAUUAGUGACUGAAGAAUAGCAUGCAGGAGUGGGUGAUACCUGAAUAGCUGCCCUGGGAGGAGAGCUGCGGACACAUGCUCCAAAUGUUGGGACAUAUGCAUUACCUAUUAGGAAAUGCGGUAAAGAUGCCGGCUGUCGGGUUUACGGCAGUCAGAAUACUGACACUGGGAUCCCGACACUCUUCAGAAUCCCGACGUUGGAACUCCGAAUGGGCAAGGAUACCGACGCCCGUAUCCCCACGAUAAUAGGUUUAGGGCUGGGCAAGGGGGUUUAGGUUUAGGUAUCAGGCACAGGGAGGGGGGGUGGUUAGGCUGCGGUGGAGAUAGGGUUAGUUUUGCACAUCAGGCGGAGCGGUUAGGUUUAGGCGUCACGCGGGUGGUUAGGGUUAGGCUGCAGGUGAGGGUUAGGCUGCGGAUAGGGUGGGUUAGGCACCCCCGGGGGUGG